GAUGAAGAACGCAGCGAAAUGCGAUAAGUAAUGUGAAUUGCAGAAUUCAGUGAAUCAUCGAAUCUUUGAACGCACAUUGCGCCCGCCAGUAUUCUGGCGGGCAUGCCUGUUCGAGCGUCAUUUCAACCCUCAAGCCCCCGGGCUUGGUGUUGGGGAUCGGCGUGCCCUCACGGCGCGCCGUCCCCUAAAUCUAGUGGCGGUCUCGCUGUAGCUUCCUCUGCGUAGUAGCAACACUCGCACUGGAUCGCAGCGCGGCCACGCCGUUAAACCCCCCACUUCUGAAAGUUUGACCUCGGAUCAGGUAGGAAUACCCGCUGAACUUAAGCAUAUCAAUAAGCGGAGGA
rnacentral:misc_RNA from 1 species